rnacentral:tRNA from 1 species
GGGGUUUUAGUUUAUAUAAAAUAUGGGUUUUGUAAACCUAAGAAAGUAAGCCCCU